CUUGCAUCGAUAAUAUACCAAAAUAAAUGAAAAAAAUUAAAAAAAAUACGCAUUUAUAGCCAAAAAAAAAAAAUAAAGCUUCUUCUGCUUCCAUUCAUCCUUGUCUGCAAUUCCAAAUCCGAACCCGCCAAACCCUCACCUCUCCGUCCAAACUCCCGCUACAAACCCGGUACUCUUCCUCCCCUUCUCCCUCCCUCUCCGCACCCGGCGGCACCCGCACCGCCGCCACCGACCUCACCCCGCUCACGUGACCUUCCAAAACUCCAACAAAACUAUACACCCUUCCCUCCCCCACCCUCCUCCAAAUCCUCACCGUCCGAUCACUAGACCCACUG
rnacentral:lncRNA from 1 species